UACGGAGGGGCUAGCGUUGUUCGGAAUUACUGGGCGUAAAGCGCACGUAGGCGGCUUUGUAAGUUAGAGGUGAAAGCCCGGGGCUCAACUCCGGAAUUGCCUUUAAGACUGCAUCGCUAGAAUUGUGGAGAGGUAAGUGGGAAAUUCCGAGUGUAGAGGUGAAAUUCGUAGAUAUACUGGGAGGAAUACCGGUGGCGGAAGGCGGUCUGCUGGGCCGUUGCUGACGCGAGGCGCGACAGCGUGGGGAGCAAACAGG
rnacentral:rRNA from 1 species